rnacentral:tRNA from 2 species
CGGGGCGUGGCGCAGUCCGGUAGCGCACCUGCUUUGGGAGCAGGGGGUCGCGAGUUCGAAUCUCGCCGCCCCGACCA